UUAACUCUAAUAGUUUAUUAAAACAUUGGUCUUGU
rnacentral:tRNA from 2 species